rnacentral:sRNA from 1 species
GAUUCAGCCCUUUGUCGCUA